rnacentral:rRNA from 1 species
GGGUGAGUAACACGUGGGCAACCUGCCCAAAAGAGGGGGAUAACACUUGGAAACAGGUGCUAAUACCGCAUAACCAUAGUUACCGCAUGGUAACUAUGUAAAAGGUGGCUAUGCUACCGCUUUUGGAUGGGCCCGCGGCGCAUUAGCUAGUUGGUGGGGUAAAGGCUUACCAAGGCAAUGAUGCGUAGCCGAACUGAGAGGUUGAUCGGCCACAUUGGGACUGAGACACGGCCCAAACUCCUACGGGAGGCAGCAGUAGGGAAUCUUCCACAAUGGGCGAAAGCCUGAUGGAGCAACGCCGCGUGGGUGAAGAAGGUCUUCGGAUCGUAAAACCCUGUUGUUAGAGAAGAAAGUGCGUGAGAGUAACUGUUCACGUUUCGACGGUAUCUAACCAGAAAGCCACGGCUAACUACGUGCCAGCAGCCGCGGUAAUACGUAGGUGGCAAGCGUUAUCCGGAUUUAUUGGGCGUAAAGGGAACGCAGGCGGUCUUUUAAGUCUGAUGUGAAAGCCUUCGGCUUAACCGGAGUAGUGCAUUGGAAACUGGGAGACUUGAGUGCAGAAGAGGAGAGUGGAACUCCAUGUGUAGCGGUGAAAUGCGUAGAUAUAUGGAAGAACACCAGUGGCGAAAGCGGCUCUCUGGUCUGUAACUGACGCUGAGGUUCGAAAGCGUGGGUAGCAAACAGGAUUAGAUACCCUGGUAGUCCACGCCGUAAACGAU